UGAGUGCGAGCGGCUACGGCCGCGAAGUGGGUGAUGUCAAGCUUCCAAGAAAAGCCCUAUACCCGUUAAGGCAUGAUGGCCUGUACCCGAAACCGACACAGGUGGGGUGGUAGAGAAUACCGAGGGGCGCGAGGUAACUCUCUCUAAGGAACUCGGCAAAAUGGCCCCGUAACUUCGGGAGAAGGGGUGCCACCGCAAGGUGGUCGCAGUGAAGAGGCCCAGGCGACUGUUUACCAAAAACACAGGUCUCCGCUAAGUCGCAAGACGAUGUAUGGGGGCUGACGCCUGCCCAGUGCCGGAAGGUUAAGGAAGCUGGUCAGCGCAAGCGAAGCUGGCGACUGAAGCCCCGGUGAACGGCGGCCGUAACUAUAACGGUCCUAAGGUAGCGAAAUUCCUUGUCGGGUAAGUUCCGACCCGCACGAAAGGCGUAACGAUCUGGGCGCUGUCUCGGAGAGAGGCUCGGCGAAAUAGAAUUGUCUGUGAAGAUGCGGACUACGUGCACCCGGACAGAAAGACCCUAUGAAGCUUUACUGUAGCUUGGUAUUGUGCCCGGGCUCUGAAUGCGCAGGAUAGGUGGGAGGCUUUGAUCCAUGGCUUGCGGGUCAUGGUGAGCCAACGGUGAGAUACCACUCUUUCAGAGCUAGGGUUCUAACGGUCACCCGUCAUCCGGGGACCGGACAGUAUCAGGUGGGCAGUUUGACUGGGGCGGUCGCCUCCUAAAAGGUAACGGAGGCGCGCAAAGGUUUGCUCAGGCUGGUUGGAAAUCAGCCGACGUGUGCAAAAGCAGAAGCAAGCUUGACUGUGAGACCUACAAGUCGAACAGGGACGAAAGUCGGCUUUAGUGAUCCGACGGUUCUGAGUGGAAGGGCCGUCGCUCAACGGAUAAAAGUUACUCUAGGAUAACAGGCUGAUCUCCCCCAAGAGUUCACAUCGACGGGGAGGUUUGGCACCUCGAUGUCGGCUCAUCGCAACCUGGGGCUGAAGUCGGUCCCAAGGGUUGGGCUGUUCGCCCAUUAAAGCGGUACGCGAGCUGGGUUCAGAACGUCGUGAGACAGUUCGGUCCAUAUCCGGUGCACGCGCAGGAACAUUGAGAGGAUUUCUCCCUAGUACGAGAGGACCGGGAGGAACGCACCUCUGGUGUGCCAGUUAUCGUGCCAACGGUAAACGCUGGGUAGCCAUGUGCGGAGUGGAUAACCGCUGAAAGCAUCUAAGUGGGAAGCCCACCUCAAGAUGAGUGUUCCCAUGGCAUAAGCCAGUAAGGUCACGGGAAGAACACCCGUUGAUAGGCUCUACGUGGAAGCCGGGUAACCGGUGAAGCGGAGGAGUACUAAUAGACCGAGGGCUUGACC
rnacentral:rRNA from 1 species